rnacentral:tRNA from 1 species
GCUCCGUUCGUCUAGCCCGGCCCAGGACACCGCCCUCUCACGGCGGAGACACGGGUUCAAAUCCCGUACGGAGUA